CGUCUCAAACUCCCAGGAUGCACCUCUCACAAACAUGUCCCCAUUGUGGGAAUUCCAUGGGUGAAGGGGCCAGGAGAAGCCCUUCUAAACUGCUCACAGCCUCUCAGAGGUCCCUCAGAAUGGAGAAGACAGCAAGCAGGACGGGAAUCUAUCAACGAUGCACCACACACAGGACCCCAGCAGACCCUUACAGGAAAGGAUCAAAGAAGGGAGGCAGGAGGUGAGAGCCUCCUGCCCAGAACAGGGCAGUGGCAGAGGACACAGGGAAAAGAGCCACCUAGAAGACCAGUGAACUGCAGGAUGCAUCUCACAGAGCCCAGAGUGGCGCCUGCUGUGUGCAGAGCCAGGAGCACCAGAAAUCAGAGCUGUGUCAAGAGGGAUAUUGACACCCUGAAGAACGCGUCAGUCAUUGACCACAUCCUACACAACAAAACAGGGGCAUUCUCUAGAGUGAAGGCAAGGAUGGAAGUCCACCAAGAACGUAUUCACCAGGGAGGCGGGGAGCAAGUGUCCAAGACUCCCGGGACUGCCAGGCCCCCUCUUUGCUCACAGAGGAAGAGGACGAGGCCGCCUUCUGCAGGCUACAGUUAGCUCUCAGGCUAGAGGAUGUGAUGAAGAACAGGAAAGUCACACUCAGGGCUGGAAAGGCCCAGAAAGCCAGGAAGUCCCCGGGGCAGCCACUGUGUGCCAGGCCAGCCCCGUCCACACACUGCACUGCCUCCUGCCCUAGGGAGAAGAGUCUCUGGGCCCAGGAUCUGCAGGCUUCUGCAAGGUCCACAGAGCCCUGAGGUUUGCAAGCAUCAUCCACAAGAUACGAACCAGGACGAGGCAUUUGAUUCAGUGUCCUCCUGCACUGAGAACAGGGAAGGACGAGGAGACCGACAGCCAAAGCACGGAGAGUCAAGAUGUGGGCAGAGGCUGAGCUGCGGGCAGAGCCACCCCUGUGGCCCUAACCCGGGGAUGCCAGGUUCCUCCAGCCACCCCUCCCCUUACUCCCCAGCUGGCUUGGGAGGGGGCUUUCCAUCACUGUCCCAAAAUUCUAAAUUCUGCUCCAACACUACCCACAUGGAACUUCUGACUCUCUAGAAGCAACGGUGUCUGCAUACACCAAGACAACUCGAAUGACCCCCACGGAGCGUGGCUCUCUAGUGAUGCCCUCUGUCUGGCAACAGCUGGACUUCCAACCAACAGUACUUCUUCUAUCAGCGAUGCUGGCUGCUGUCGGGGCAGUGCUUGGGUUGAAGGGAUCCCAGGACUUUGUGCGCAGAGCACGCUAGCCUCCACCUCGCCCUUCCUGAGCGCCUGCCUGGGCUACCCACACACCACUGUGCUGGGGAGGCACAGAGGUGGCCACAACCACCCACAUCUACCACCAUCUCUAGAUAUUUCACAGGCCAGUAACUCCAAAAUGCCACCAUUUCUUCAUACAUUUCCAAAAGAAGUAAUGAAGAAUACAGCAGCAUGGUCAGAAACCUUUCGUGUAGAGGAAAAACAGAACUCAGAUCAAGGACAUACAUAAACCACAUUUCUGCCGUGCUCUGACAGUCCCUCACUUUCUGCAGCCGACUGCAGGGUGGGCCCGGGCCAUGCC
rnacentral:lncRNA from 13 species